AUGCUGCAUCCUGCGUCAGACAUAGACUGGCGAUUCAGUUCACAUGAUAGUAUACAUGUUAGAAUGUCAUUCUCCCAAAUCACCCCCCCCUCUCCCUCUCCCUCUGAGUCCAAAAGUCCGUUAUACACAUCUGUGUCUCUGUAUGCACACACGUUUGUGAUAUUUUUAAUAUUGUGCCUUGAAUAUCAGGUUUUGUUGGGAUUUUUUUGUAUGUUUUUGUUUUUCAGGGGUGAAGUACAUUUGCCAAUUGCCAUUCUGGAUCAUUUCUCUUUCAAGGCAAAAGCUGGGAUUUACUUAUCUUUAGAACAAUGUCAACUCUAAGAAAUAUGUUGAAUUAAAUAUUUAUGUUGACUCAAUUUCUAGAUUUUUAAGGCAUGUCUAGAUAUAUCUGAAAUUUGAAAAUGUGGAAAGAAAGAAAAGCUAAGGGAUACUGGCAGUGGAAGUGAGAAAUAGAUUUAAGGGACUAGAUCUGAUAGAGUGCCUGAUGAACUAUGGACAGAGGUUCUUGACAUUGUUUAGGAGACAGGAAUCAAGACCAUCUCCAAGAAAAAGAAAUGCAAAAAAAGCAAAAUGACUGUCUGAGGAGGCCUUACAAAUAGCUGUGAAAAGAAGAGAAGUGAAAAGCAAAAGAGAAAAGGAAAGAUAUACCCAUUUGAAUGCAGAGUUCCAAAGAAUAGCAAGGAGAGAUCAGCAACCAAUGCAAAGAAAUAGAGGAAAACAAUAGAAUGGGAAAGACUAGAUAUCUCUUCAAGAAAAUUAGAGAUACCAAGGGAACAUUACAUGCAAACAUAGGCUCAAUAAAGGACAGAAAUGAUAUGGACCUAAAAGAAGCAGAAGAUAUUAAGAAGAGGUGACAAGAAUACACAGAACAACUGUACAAAAAAGAGCUUCACGACCCAGAUAAUCACGAUGGUGUGAUCACUCACUUAGAGCCAGACAUUCUGGAAUGUGAAGUCAAGUGGGCCUUAGGAAGCAUCACAACAAACAAAGCUAGUGGAGGUGAUGGAAUUCCAGUUGAGCUGUUUCAAAUCCUGAAAGAUGAUGCUGUGAAUGUGCUGCACUCAAUAUGCCAGCAAAUUUGGAAAACUCAGCAGUGGCCACAGGACUGGAAAAGGUCAGUUUUCAUUCCAAUCCCAA
rnacentral:lncRNA from 1 species